UGGGGUGUAGUGUAAUGGUAACACAACAGACUUUGACUCUGUCAUUUCUGGUUCGAGCCCAGACAUCCCAGCCA
rnacentral:tRNA from 1 species